rnacentral:rRNA from 1 species
GAACGCUGGCGGCAUGCCUUACACAUGCAAGUCGAACGGUAACAGGUCUUCGGAUGCUGACGAGUGGCGAACGGGUGAGUAAUACAUCGGAACGUGCCCGAGAGUGGGGGAUAACGAAGCGAAAGCUUUGCUAAUACCGCAUACGAUCUCAGGAUGAAAGCAGGGGACCGCAAGGCCUUGCGCUCACGGAGCGGCCGAUGGCAGAUUAGGUAGUUGGUGGGAUAAAAGCUUACCAAGCCGACGAUCUGUAGCUGGUCUGAGAGGACGACCAGCCACACUGGGACUGAGACACGGCCCAGACUCCUACGGGAGGCAGCAGUGGGGAAUUUUGGACAAUGGGCGCAAGCCUGAUCCAGCCAUGCCGCGUGCAGGAUGAAGGCCUUCGGGUUGUAAACUGCUUUUGUACGGAACGAAAAGACUCUGGUUAAUACCUGGGGUCCAUGACGGUACCGUAAGAAUAAGCACCGGCUAACUACGUG